UGUACUGUUGUCGUUGGUUGGGGUGUCGUGUGUGAUAGUGUUUNUGGUGNUCAGUAUGGGUUUUUUAGUAUGUGCGUGUUGUGCCGUGUANAUCAUGGUGGUUGUUAACUUGUCCGGCCGGGCGGGCUCUGGCGUCGCUCCGUGGUAUCCUGGGUGGGUGCUNCUCUGGGUGUGGCUCCCUGUGCCCCGUUUAGCGCNGGUGAGUGGUCCGCAUCUAGUGUUANNUUGGUUCNCCCCCGNCGGUUUNCCCGACCCCAAUGGGUUUUCGGCGCCUUCCCCAUACCCUUUUCGUUGUGAACCUGCGAAGGGAUCAUUGCUGGAACUGCGCCUCGGCGCACCCAGAAACCCUUUGUGAACUUAUACCUAUUUGUUGCCUCGGCGUAAGGCUGGGCCCCCCGGGGCCCCCCCAGUCUCUGGGGAGCAGGCCCGCCGGCGGCCAAGUAAACUCUUGUUUUUACCUGGAACUCUGAGUAAAAAAACAUAAAUGAAUCAAAACUUUCAACAACGGAUCUCUUGGUUCUGGCAUCGAUGAAGAACGCAGCGAAAUGCGAUAAGUAAUGUGAAUUGCAGAAUUCAGUGAAUCAUCGAAUCUUUGAACGCACAUUGCGCCCUCUGGUAUUCCGGAGGGCAUGCCUGUUCGAGCGUCAUUUCAACCCUCAAGCCUGGCUUGGUGAUGGGGCACUGCUUUGGAGACAGAGCAGGCCCUGAAAUACAGUGGCGAGCUCGCCAGUACCCCGAGCGCAGUAGUUAAACCCUCGUUUCUGGAAGGUGCUGGCGGUGCCUGCCGUUAAACCCCCAACUUCUGAAAAUUGACCUCGAUCAGUAGAACCCGCUGA
rnacentral:rRNA from 1 species